rnacentral:lncRNA from 1 species
CAGGCUGUGAAGUUUGGGUGAGAUCUUGACGGUGGUGGCAGUGGUGGGAUCCAUGCAUGGCAUCUGGAAGAAGGAGAGAAAGGAAGAGAAAGAGGCAAGGAGGGAGGAGGAAAAUGAGGCUUUGAAAUAUCAUACACAGUUCCUUGGAUGGAAGGAGGAGCGGGCAAUAGGUGACUUGGCAUUUCAGCGUGCAUUUGAAAAUCGUAUGCACAUUGUACUGUGUUUCCAUAUGUCACUGUGGUCCUUUGUUAAGCUCAUUUUCCGGAUGAGGAAAGGAACUGAAGCACAGAGAAAGAAGUUACACAGGAAAUUGCAGACCUAAAAUUUAUAUCCAGCUCUCCCUAGCUCUGAAUGUUGCAAGAAAAUUUUACAGUGAUCUUUCUGACUGCGUGGAGGAGAAGGCCUCAGGUCAGUGCCUAUCCUUUCUCACAUCUCCCUGGCAUUCUCUUAUCUCCCUUUUCAGCAAAGAGACGGUGUUUC